rnacentral:rRNA from 1 species
AUUGAACGCUGGCGGCAUGCUUUACACAUGCAAGUCGAACGGCAGCGCGGGCUUCGGCCUGGCGGCGAGUGGCGAACGGGUGAGUAAUGCAUCGGAACGUGCCCAGUAGUGGGGGAUAGCCCGGCGAAAGCCGGAUUAAUACCGCAUACGACCUGAGGGUGAAAGCGGGGGACCGAAAGGCCUCGCGCUAUUGGAGCGGCCGAUGUCGGAUUAGCUAGUUGGUGGGGUAAAGGCUUACCAAGGCGACGAUCCGUAGCUGGUCUGAGAGGACGACCAGCCACACUGGGACUGAGACACGGCCCAGACUACUACGGGAGGCAGCAGUGGGGAAUUUUGGAGAAUGGGGGCAACCCUGAUCAAGCCAUGCCGCGUGCGGGAAGAAGGCCUUCGGGUUGUAAACGGCUUUUGUUCGGGAAGAAAGCCUCUGGGAUAAUACCCAGGGGGGAUGACGGUACCGGAAGAAUAAGCACCGGCUAACUACGUG